CAGCGGCGGUGGCGGCAUUAGCAGGGUUCUCCAGGACGGGGCCAUUUGGGAGAAGGCUGGAGUUAAUGUCUCCGUUGUUUAUGAGAUCAUGCCGCCAGAAGCUUACCGCGCUGCAAAAGCUGCCGCUUCUCCUGACCAGAAGCCUGGUCCUAUCCCGUUCUUCGCCGCUGGAAUCAGCUCCGUUUUGCAUCCGAAGAACCCAUUUGCCCCAACCUUACAGAUUAUGAUUUUCCAUCCUUAUUUCGGAGCUGUUUCUCAUACCAUUAUUGCUAUUGUUGUCUGCCAAUGACUUAUACUCAGGUAAAUGGGAAUCUCUUCAAGUGAAUCAAUUACUAGAUUUAGGCUUUGUAGGAUAUGCUUACACUUGGUCUAACAAUACCAUUAUUGCUACUGUUGUCUGCCAAUGACUUAUACUCAGGUAAAUGGGAAUCUCUUCAAGUGAAUCAAUUACUAGAUUUAGGCUUUGUAGGAUAUGCUUACACUUGGUCUAACAAUCAGGUUGGGGAAGCAAAUAUUCAAGAAAGGCUAGAUAGAGCAGUGGCAAUAAUAAAUUAGAAGGAAGCAUUCCUAGAAAGAGUGGAAAAGCAUUUUCAAAGAUACAGAUCAGACCAUUGUCCAAUCCUAAUCGAUGUUCAUGGGGAGAGCUUAAAAAGGAAGAGGCCAUAUAUUUUCAGAUUCGAAGAAUGUGGCUUAGAGACUCUGAAUGCAAAGAGAUUAUCAAAAGAAGCUGGGUUGUGAACUAUGAUCAGAUUGAAGAGAAACUAGGAAAGUGCAACAAAGCAUUGCAAGAAUGGAGACUGAGUUGGAGAACUUCUUUGGAAAGAAUCCGUUGGAAUCAAAAGAUAUAUCCAGAAUUGUAAAUCACAACCACUUUACUAUUGGAUGUUCCACAUGAUUCUCUGAUCAUGGGUGACGAGAUAUUUGGUCCAUUACUUCCCAUCAUCACGGUAGGAAUAAUUUAAUCAAGGCACCUAAAUAACUGUUUUAUAUGACAUUGUUUUUGCAAUUUGUUAUCAAUAAUUGAUAUGUGCUGCUUUGGAAGAUCAAUAAUGAUGAUACAUGAUUUUUGGGUAACAUGUGAAUAAAUUGGGAGAAAGUUUUGAUCUGAUCAAUUUAGGAACAAAGCCUCUGGCUGCAUAUAUAUUUACAAAUAACAAGAAACUGAAGGAGCAGUUUGUGAAGAAUGUUUCUGCAGGGGGAUGCUUGUCAAUGACAUUGCCUUACAUCUUAUUGUUCCAUCUCACUCACAAAUUGAAGAAACAAUUCUGAAUUUGAAAAGGGCACAGGCAGACUUAGUCGAACUCUUCUAUCAAGAAGAGAUUAAAUGGGCCCAAAAAUCUCGUGUGAACUUGUUGAAUGCGGAGAACAAGAACACUCGAUUUUUUCAUCAGCAGGCAUCUCAACAAAGAAGAAAUAAAACUGAAAGAAUCACUGAUGACGAAGGGAAUCUCUAUAAAGAAGACGAGAAACAGAGUAUAUGGUUCUCCCUCUUCGACAACAAAUGCAGACCGGAACCUUCUCAGUCUGGAUGGUGGUUUUUUUUGGAGGGAGAACCAGAGUAUUCCUGCGUUUGAUCUUUGGUCUUCCUUAGGGUUUAAUGUAAUUCUGUAAAAACUCUGUGGGUGUAAUAGACAUUGUACACAAGGAAAGGGAUGAGAGUGUAUAUAAGGGACAGC